UACGUAGGUCCCGAGCGUUGUCAGGAUUUAUUGGGCGUAAAGCGAGCGCAGGUGGUUUAAUAAGUCUGAUGUAAAAGGCAGUGGCUCAACCAUUGUGUGCAUUGGAAACUGUUAGACUUGAGUGCAGUAGAGGAGAGUGGAAUUCCAUGUGUAGCGGUGAAAUGCGUAGAUAUAUGGAGGAACACCGGUGGCGAAAGCGGCUCUCUGGACUGUCACUGACACUGAGGCUCGAAAGCGUGGGUAGCAAACAGG
rnacentral:rRNA from 1 species